AUUGAACGCUGGCGGAAUGCUUUACACAUGCAAGUCGAACGGCAGCACGGGGGCAACCCUGGUGGCGAGUGGCGAACGGGUGAGUAAUACAUCGGAACGUGCCCAGUCGUGGGGGAUAACGUAGCGAAAGUUACGCUAAUACCGCAUACGAUCUACGGAUGAAAGCGGGGGAUCGCAAGACCUCGCGCGAUUGGAGCGGCCGAUGUCAGAUUAGGUAGUUGGUGGGGUAAAGGCUCACCAAGCCGACGAUCUGUAGCUGGUCUGAGAGGACGACCAGCCCACACUGGGACUGAGACACGGCCCAGACUCCUACGGAGGCAGCAGUGGGGAAUUUUGGACAAUGGGCGCAAGCCUGAUCCAGCCAUGCCGCGUGAGCGAUGAAGGCCUUAGGGUUGUAAAGCUCUUUUCAGGGGGAAGAUAAUGACUGUACCCCCAGAGAAGCCCCGGCUAACUCCGUGCCAGCCAGCCGCGGUAAGGUAACUCUAU
rnacentral:rRNA from 1 species